rnacentral:rRNA from 1 species
AGCGAACGCUGGCGGCAGGCUUAACACAUGCAAGUCGAACGCCCCGCAAGGGGAGUGGCAGACGGGUGAGUAACACGUGGGAACGUACCCUUUGGUUCGGAAUAACUUGGGGAAACUCAAGCUAAUACCGGAUAAGCCCUUAUGGGGAAAGGUUUACUGCCGAAGGAUCGGCCCGCGUCUGAUUAGCUAGUUGGUGAGGUAAUGGCUCACCAAGGCGACGAUCAGUAGCUGGUAUGAGAGGAUGAUCAGCCACACUGGGACUGAGACACGGCCCAGACUCCUACGGGAGGCAGCAGUGGGGAAUAUUGGACAAUGGGGGCAACCCUGAUCCAGCCAUGCCGCGUGAGUGAUGAAGGCCGUAGGGUUGUAAAGCUCUUUUACCCGGGACGAUAAUGACUGUACCGGGAGAAUAAGUCCCGGCUAACUUCGUGCCGGCCGCCGCAGUAA